rnacentral:lncRNA from 1 species
AGGUAAGAGUUGGUUAUUUUCUGAUGGCAGUAGCUGGACUCAACAGAAGCUGGUGAGCUUGUCUGUUCUUCCAUUUCUAAGCUACCCUCACCUAUUGCCAGAAGACAGGCUUGAUCAUUUGGAUCGUGCCCUGUCUAUCUGAAGUUUUCAGGGAACCAAACCAAUUCCCUCAAAGUCAUCAGAACCUGGAAAGCAGGCAGCAAACUCAGAGGGUCAGCCUCAAGACUCUGCAGGUGGAAUCUGUGGGAAACGACCCUGUUUCUAGAACCAAGAAUUCAUGUGGUGGAUAUGGCCAGGGCACACCAUGGAGAUGCUACUCUGCCAAGCAUCUUGGUCAACUUCAUCUUCCUGCAACUCCUGACUUCUGGAUAUGGAAAAUCAGAUUUCCGUGUCCUUGGACCUCCUGACCCACUUCUGGCCACAGUUGGGCAAGACAAAGAGUUGCCUUGCAAACUGUCACCCAACAUCAGCGCUGAGGGCAUGGAGCUG